rnacentral:rRNA from 1 species
UGGGUAACCUGCCUCAAAGAGGGGAAUAGCCUCCCGAAAGGGAGAUUAAUACCGCAUAAUAUGUUUAAGUCGCAUGACUUUAACAUCAAAGGAUUUUCUUUUAAGAAAUUCCACUUUGAGAUGGACCCGCGGCGCAUUAGCUAGUUGGUGAGGUAACGGCUCACCAAGGCAACGAUGCGUAGCCGACCUGAGAGGGUNAUCGGCCACAUUGGAACUGAGACACGGUCCAGACUCCGUAGGGAG